rnacentral:rRNA from 1 species
CUACGUGCCAGCAGCCGCGGUAAUACGGAAGGUCCAGGCGUUAUCCGGAUUUAUUGGGUUUAAAGGGAGCGUAGGCCGUGGAUUAAGCGUGUUGUGAAAUGUAGACGCUCAACGUCUGAAUUGCAGCGCGAACUGGUUCACUUGAGUAUGCACAACGUAGGCGGAAUUCGUCGUGUAGCGGUGAAAUGCUUAGAUAUGACGAAGAACUCCGAUUGCGAAGGCAGCUUACGGGAGCACAACUGACGCUGAAGCUCGAAGGUGCGGGUAUCAAACAGGAUUAGAUACCCUGGUAGUCCGCACAGUAAACGAUGGAUGCCCGUUGUUAGUUCACUUAAGAAUUAGCGACCAAGCGAAAGCAUUAAGCAUCCCACCUGGGGAGUACGCCGGCAACGGUGAAACUCAAAGGAAUUGACGGGGGCCCGCACAAGCGGAGGAACAUGUGGUUUAAUUCGAUGAUACGCGAGGAACCUUACCCGGGCUUGAAUUGCAGAGGAAUUAUUUA